ensembl:miRNA pma-mir-103b pma-mir-103b
CCUGUUCUCUCGGCCUCUUUACAGUGCUAUCUUGUAGCCUCAAUCAAGCAGCAUUGUACAGGGCUAUGAGAGAGCAA